UACGAAGGGAGCUAGCGUUGUUCGGAAUCACUGGGCGUAAAGCGCACGUAGGCGGAUUUGCCAGUCAGGGGUGAAAUCCCGGGGCUCAACCUCGGAACUGCCUUUGAUACAGCAAGUCUUGAGUUCGAGAGAGGUGGGUGGAAUUCCUAGUGUAGAGGUGAAAUUCGUAGAUAUUGGGAAGAACACCGAUGGCGAAGGCAGCCAUCUGGACCGACACUGACGCUGAGGCGCGAAAGCGUGGGGAGCAAACAGG
rnacentral:rRNA from 1 species